AUAAAGGAUAUUUGUGUUUAGCGUAAAACAUGAUGACCUGAAAAAUAUCAACAUUAAAAAACCAACAAAAAAGGGGGAAAAAAAAGCAAAAUAAUAAUUAAACAAAGAAAAUUUAAAAUGAAUACACUUUUUAUUUAAGGGAACAAAUCGGUAUUCAGCAGCAAAUUAUUUCUCGAUGGUUUGUUCAGACCUUAUGUGUAACGACCCCACAAGGAGUAAUUGGUGUUUGUCAUCGUCAUCUGAUGAUAGAACGACUUGUGGCGAUAAAAAGUGGUGCAUCAACAAAGUAUGUGUACACGACAAUGCAGCUCCUUCUAUGCAAGAAUCCUGUCCAUUCGGGGACCAGUCGACUGGUACCGCAGCUCACGGUCUCACUUGUGCUCAGAUAAAACAUCCAGAGCAUCACUGGCGUUGCUAUGACGACCAUAUAAGAAAAAAAUGUUGUGAAACCUGUCAAUCCAUCUUACGAAAUCA